AGCAUGUUUUUUAGGUUAAGGACAAGCACUGCUUUGGUAUAAGGCUGCCUGGAUAUUCAGGUUUCCUCUGGCCACAGCAAUCCAAGGCAAAGGCUGCUGUAUGCCCUGGCCAGGGAUCUCCAUACCCUAACAAGAAUUGCAUGAGGAAUUCUGAGUGAACUGUGCUGUGCACAAUGCCUCCAGGUAUCAGUGGUAAGUUCCACAGCCCCUUUUAGCAUGUGAUUUACAAAGAGAAGGCCACAAUGUGAUUUGGUGUCUUUCUGCCCAUGCUGAGGUUUAUAUAAAGUGUGCAGCACUUUCUAUGUUGAAUUUAUUGACACACCCAAAUGUGCACA
rnacentral:lncRNA from 1 species